rnacentral:rRNA from 1 species
GUGCCAGCCGCCGCGGUAAUACGUAGGUGGCAAGCGUUAUCCGGAAUUAUUGGGCGUAAAGCGCGCGUAGGCGGUUUUUUAAGUCUGAUGUGAAAGCCCACGGCUCAACCGUGGAGGGUCAUUGGAAACUGGAAAACUUGAGUGCAGAAGAGGAAAGUGGAAUUCCAUGUGUAGCGGUGAAAUGCGCAGAGAUAUGGAGGAACGCCAGUGGCGAAGGCGACUUUCUGGUCUGUAACUGACGCUGAUGUGCGAAAGCGUGGGGAUCAAACAGGAUUAGAUACCCUGGUAGUCAAGGGCG